rnacentral:misc_RNA from 1 species
GGUGAAGAACGUAGCGAAAUGCGAUAAGUAAUGUGAAUUGCAGAAUUCAGUGAAUCAUCGAAUCUUUGAACGCACCUUGCACCCUUUGGCUAUUCCGAAGGGUAUGCCUGUUUGAGUAUCAUGAACACCUCAACUCUCAUGGUUUGCCAUGAUGAGCUUGGACUUUGGGGGUCUUGCUGGCCUGUGGUCAGCUCCUCUCAAAUGGAUUAGCUUGCCAGUGUUUGGUGGCAUCACAGGUGUGAUAACUAUCUACGCUUGUGGUUUUCCACCAGGUAACCUUCAGCAAUGGGGGUUCGCUGGGGCUCAUAAAUGUCUCUCCUCAGUGAGGACAGCUCUUUGAACGUUUGAUCUCAAAUCAGGUAGGACUACCCGCUGAACUUAAGCAUAUCAAUAAGCGGAGGA